CUGAGGUCAUCUGGUCAUACUCAGCUGGUGGAUGGGAUGGUCUCGAGGGCCCACAGUGGCUUCAUUCAUAUCUCUGGCAUUUUCGCAAGAAUGGCUGAAAGUCGAGGGCCAGGAGGGACAGAUCAUCCACCAAACGCCUUCCUGGCUAUCUGAGGGUGCUCAGACUUCUCACACUGCAGCUGGCUUCCCCCAUAGUGAGCCUCUCAAGAGAAUCGGGAGAAAGCUACUUGGUCAUUUCUGACCUACUCUCAGAAGGUCAUGCAGAGUCACUCCUGCCAUAUGCUAUUGGUCAAAACAGUCGUAAGCCUAACCAGAUUCAAAGGGAGGGGACACAGGCUCCCCACCUCUCAAUGACAGGAGUAUCAAGGAAUGGGGGUCCAUUUUGUUAAAAUGCAGGUUCUGUAGGUCUGGGGUGGGACCUGGGAUUCUGCAUUUUUUAAAAAUUCCCCCGCGGCGCUGCUACUGCUAUUUCAUAGAUCACGCUGGGCAGGAAAGGUUUCGACAGCCCAUUACGCUGCAUCUUCCCCUGAACCCAAAGCCUGUCUGUUUCUGUUUCUGUUGUCUCAUUUCCUGGUAGGUUCAUUUAAUUUAGAACUCAGCCAGACAAUCUUUUCUUGGGCUCACCGGAAGGAUGACUAUGUUCAAAGACCUUUAUUUCAAAAGAAAGAAACAUCCCUGUGUUUAGAUGUCACAAGGGAGCUUACAAUGGCUAAAGGGGAAAAUCUUUGGCAAAUGAGUAUGUCAGGUCAGGUAACCAUAAAAACUUUGGGCACCUUUUUCUCCACCAUCCAUUUGAAGAGAGACACAUCCAAGAAGACACUUGUGAGAAGAGGGCUCAAGGGCUGUGUAUCACCUUGGGAGACUCGGCAAGGUCGGGACUCAGCAAGUUGCCGAUCGGUAAAUACUGACGCCGUCAAGUAUUUCAAGCAGUCAAGUAGUCAAGACCCAGUUAUGACGGCUGUUCCUGGGACGGUUGGGCCUGGAGGAUGAAAAAGUGGGAGUUUCCAAGGUCAAAGCAGCCUGGGUCUGAAUCCCUGAAUGCCUUUGAUGGAAAUCUGGAUUUCUGUGCACUGGGAUUUCUAAAGGUGAGUUUGAAAUUCUGUCUUUUGUUCUCUCUGCUACAAAGGAGCUAGACUUGAUAGUCCUUCUCCUGUCUCCUGGAACCCUCAAAACAAACAUUUGAGGAGGUAGGAUUUCCUUUUUAGGCAGAACCUGUCUCUAAGAGGGGAAGUGGCGGUUGGCUUCUUUUUCCUCCUAGACAGAACCACCAACAAUGCCAUAUAUUUGAAUAAUAUUUAACAGUUUACAACGUAUUUUAACAUUUAUUAUUUCUUUGUGCUCAGACUCUCUGGGAGGUGGGCAGGGUAGGUAGGUAUCAUAAGUCCUGUUUUAUAUAUGUGAUUAACCUAAAGUCACUGAAUUAAUAAACUGUGAACCUGGUCUAAAAACA
rnacentral:lncRNA from 1 species